UACGUAGGGGGCAAGCGUUAUCCGGAUUUACUGGGUGUAAAGGGAGCGUAGACGGCUGUGCAAGUCUGAAGUGAAAGCCCGUGGCUCAACCGCGGAACUGCUUUGGAAACUGUAUAGCUUGAGUACUGGAGAGGCAGGCGGAAUUCCUAGUGUAGCGGUGAAAUGCGUAGAUAUUAGGAGGAACACCAGUGGCGAAGGCGAUUCACUGGACUGUAACUGACACUGAGGCACGAAAGCGUGGGUAUCGAACAGG
rnacentral:rRNA from 1 species